rnacentral:sRNA from 1 species
CAUCUCCUUCUUCUUCUGUUUCUU